rnacentral:rRNA from 1 species
UACGUAGGGGUGCAAGCGUUUAAUCGGAAUUACUGGGCGUAAAGCGUGCGCAGGCGGUUUUGUAAGUCUGUCGUGAAAGCCCCGGGCUCAACCUGGGAAUUGCGAUGGAGACUGCAAGGCUUGAAUCUGGCAGAGGGGGGUAGAAUUCCACGUGUAGCAGUGAAAUGCGUAGAGAUGUGGAGGAACACCGGAUGGCGAAGGCAGCCCCCUGGGUCAAGAUUGACGCUCAUGCACGAAAGCGUGGGGAGCAAACAGG